rnacentral:rRNA from 1 species
UGAGGGGGGCUGCUCCUAGUACGAGAGGACCGGAGUGGACGCAUCACUGGUGUUCGGGUUGUCAUGCCAAUGGCACUGCCCGGUAGCUAAAUGCGGAAAAGAUAAGUGCUGAAAGCAUCUAAGCACGAAACUUGCCCCGAGAUGAGUUCUCCCUGAGACUUUGAGUCUCCUGAAGGAACGUUGAAGACGACGACGUUGAUAGGCCGGGUGUGUAAGCGCAGCGAUGCGUUGAGCUAACCGGUACUAAUGAACCGUGAGGCUUAACCUUACAACGCCGAAG